rnacentral:rRNA from 1 species
UACGAAGGGGGCUAGCGUUGUUCGGAGUUACUGGGCGUAAAGCGUAUGCAGGCGGAUCGUUAAGUCGGGGGUGAAAUCCCGAGGCUCAACCUCGGAACUGCCUUCGAUACUGGCGACCUUCGAGUCCGGGAGAGGUGAGUGGAACUCCGAGUGUAGAGGUGAAAUUCGUAGAUAUUCGGAAGAACACCAGUGGCGAAGGCGGCUCACUGGCCCGGUACUGACGCUGAGAUACGAAAGCGUGGGGAGCAAACAGG